rnacentral:tRNA from 1 species
CAGCGUGUAGCUCAGAAGGGAGAGCGCCGGUUUUGGGAACCGGAGGCCGCAGGUUCGAGCCCUGCUACGCUGACCA